GCUCGUGGCAUCCCCACGAGCAUGCCUGUUCGAGUGUCAACUUUACACUCACUCAAAAAAACUCACUCUUGUGGGGCUCUUUUUGAGUGGAAUUGAGCGUUGGUUCGAGAGAUGCCAUCGCUUCAAAUUGAGCGGGGGGGAAACUCGGUAAGAGGGCUUCUGCUAUCAACCGUCAUCCUUUGGGGCUUUAGUAACGUGCUUAAGUGCAUGACUCAAUUCUCCUCUGGUGAAUCAGGUUGGUGGUGACUCCUUCUUAUUUACCCCCUUUUCAUUAACUCUUUGUUAAAAAUUCAACCAUUUGACCUCGAAUCAGGCAAGGCUACCCGCUGAAUUUAA
rnacentral:misc_RNA from 1 species